rnacentral:rRNA from 1 species
CCCUUAGAUGUUCUGGGCCGCACGCGCGCUACACUGAUGCAUCCAACGAGCCUAUCCUUGACCGACAGGUCCGGGUAAUCUUUGAAUCUGCAUCGUGACGGGGAUAGAUUAUUGCAAUUAUUAAUCUUCAACGAGGAAUGCCUAGUAGGCGCAAGUCAUCAGCUUGCGUCGAUUACGUCCCUGCCCUUUGUACCCACCGCCCGUCGCUCCUACCGAUUGAGUGGUCCGGUGAGGCUUUGGGAUCUGAGCGGAAAGAGCGUUUCGCUGUUUCUGCUCGGAAAACUCAGUCGAACCUUAUCAUUUAGAGGAAGGAGAAGUCGUAACA